rnacentral:snoRNA from 1 species
AUGAGGACUCCACGGGUUCCGACGCCCCCUCGGGGGUGGGGACACCUGUCUCAACUGA